rnacentral:lncRNA from 1 species
UAGGACAGAAAUUUACCCUGCAAGAUACUUUCAUAUAUGAAAUUAUUCUCUUUUGAACCUUCCUUACCAAAAAUACAUCUUCAUAGCUAACUUUUUUCACAUCUCUCCUACUUACUGGUUUUCUACCUUCUUUCAUAACUAACCUUUAAAUAACAUCCAAAUUAAAUAAAAUUAUUCUUUUUCUCCAUAAGAACACAUUUAUUUGGCACAUUUUAUAUAUAGAAUUCUAUAUUAACUAAAAUUCUUACUCUUAGUAACCUUAAAUUUUAGUGAAAACCUAGGAGGCAAGAAAUAUUGAAUUGUCUGUUCUCUAUCAGCACUUUAAAGAUGAGAAUCACGUCACAAUUUUUAGAAACGUGUUUCUGGCCAAGCAUGGUAGCUCAUGUCUGUAAUCCCAGCACUUUGGGAGGCUGAGUUUACAUUCUCCCCUUUUAGCCAAGAUGUGCCAGAGAUGACAUUGGUGACCAAACAUUUAUUUUUUCCCAUAUCUUUGCCGGGGUGGUGUGGCUACCUGCUGCAGGUUCAUUCUGUUCUUUGGUGGGAUCCUUAUGGCCAAGGGACUUGGAGCCAAUUAAACAUUCUAGGCCAGAUGAGGAUGGAGGUGAACAGGCACUCAUUAACCCUUAAAAACCUUUUGAGCAACAGAAGAGCCAAAAAGCAAGGUUACAACAGUGACUUACCUGUAAGUUCUAUGUGACGAGUCAUCAGCUGUUUAGUAACCUGUAUGACCUGUUAACCAUUUUUGUAGCCUGUGAAUAUCAGAUGUUCAUUUAAGUCAGAACCUUAAACAUGUGGAUAUUUUUGCCAACAACUCAGAAGCUAACAAAACAGCUAACAACUUAGCUGUUUUCAUUGAACCAACAAUAUUAAAUUAGUCUUAUUUGUCAAAAAAUUCACACAAAGAUCAUUCUCUUUUUGACUGGGUUUAUAGUCUUAUAAUCUUUUGUGCCAAAUCCUGAUACCUUAAAACACCUAGCGGAGGCAAAUAUAAAAUAAUCAGUAAACCCAGACUAAAAAAAAAAUGUAUGCUGACAAUUCUGAAGACAUUUCUAGUUUUAUUUUACCAAUAAUUUUAAAACCAUUUUAUUUACCAGAUUACUAAGUUCACAUGAAUCUGAAAAGUAUUUGGACUUACUUAAUUUAUGAGUAUAAUUUACUUAUAAACCAGUUUGGUACCAUGCUAGAUACAACACAACAUAAUACAUGUUCAUAUACAAACAUUUAAACACAUACACACAAAGAUCUUACAGCUUUUACUCUGGAACCUUAGCCAUGAGAUGGUAAUACAGACUCACCACUUAACAAAAGACAGCUGGAUCCAAAUUAUUUCUGACAAAAUUGGGACCUGUUCACAUGGCUAAACUUUAUUUGUCCCAGUAGGUAAUCCAAUGAAGGCUAUGGACCAAAGUCUUGGGAAAAGUAGUUUUCAUGGCAGUUUUAUUUUUAAAAACCUUUUACCCCUUUUUUUUUUCCUGAAGUUUCAAAUGAGUUUUCAGUGUUUACAUUUUAGCUACAAUUGGCUGAACUGUAAAGAAAGCUCCAAGUAGCCUUGAAUUAGUAGUAUCAUAAACAAUGAGUUUUAUCUUAACAGCAGUAGCUUAAUAACAGCAAAUUCAAAGCAGGCCGAAAACAAAAAAGAGAUAGCUUUAGAAAACUCUACAUUUUAAUUGUAUAGUUGCAGGUUGGGCAUUUGAGCUCUGAAUUUUCCUUGCUGUAAUUUGCCCGUUCAGUUUUAAAAUGUGCACAAGAACAGGCCACAAUAUGCAGCUAGCUGAAGUGCUGGAAAACCUGGCAUGCCUUUGAACUUCUACAGGAGUUCCUGCCCCUAGUGGGUAAGUUACCUAUUGCACUGACUUUAUGAAGAUAUCUCUUCCAGUGCCCUUAGUGUGAGCAUCCCCACAAACCUUAUGAACCAGUUGAAUCCAACCUGAAUGCCUCUCCAUAAGCCCGGAGCCCACAAAUGCAUUUUCUCCAGGGCCCUUGGAUGGAGGGAAUCAGGAAGGCCUCCUCCAAACCCAAGGCUAGGAGAGAUGUUCCCUCCGGGGUCCAGGGAGGAGAACAGAAAGGACUGAGAAGAACUAGGAAUGCCCUCCCAAACCCAAGGCCAGCAGGAGGGUCUCCUCCGGAGUUCCACAGAUGGAGGAGGCCUAAAAGAAGAAAUCAAGUCUGCAACCUAAAAGUGGGAGAUCUUGGAUUUUGAUAGCACUUACCCAGAUCCUUUCCCAGCAUAGUCAGGAACAACUGGACUUUUUCAAAGGGACCUUGGCUGUACCUGGUGUCCUGGGUGACACAGGAAAAGGAAUUCAGGGGCUGCUUCAGAAUCCCAUCUUUGCCAGAUACGUUAACUU